rnacentral:rRNA from 1 species
GACGAAGGAUGCAAGCGUUAUCCGGAUUCAUUGGGUUUAAAGGGAGCGUAGGCGGACUUAUAAGUCAGUGGUGAAAUCUCCGGGCUUAACCCGGAAACUGCCAUUGAUACUGUAGGUCUAGAGUACAUUUGCUGUGGGCGGAAUAUGACAUGUAGUGGUGAAAUACUUAGAUAUGUCAUAGAACACCGAUUGCGAAGGCAGCUCACAAAAAUGUAACUGACGCUGAGGCUCGAAAGUGCGGGGAUCAAACAGGAUUAGAUACCCCUGUAGU